rnacentral:rRNA from 1 species
AACGAACGCUGGCGGCGCGCCUAACACAUGCAAGUCGAACGAGAAUCCGGGGCAACCCGGUAGUAAAGUGGCAAACGGGUGAGGAAUGCAUGGGUAACCUACCCUUGAGAAGGGAAUAACCCGCCGAAAGGUGAGCUAAUACCCUAUACGCUAUCUUUUUUUCGAAAAGGAUAGGAAAGCCGGGUCGAGGACCUGGUACUCAAGGAGGGGCUCAUGUCCUAUCAGCUUGUUGGUGGGGUAACGGCCUACCAAGGCUACGACGGGUAGCUGGUCUGAGAGGAUGAUCAGCCACACUGGCACUGAGAUACGGGCCAGACUCCUACGGGAGGCAGCAGUGAGGAAUAUUGCGCAAUGGGCGAAAGCCUGACGCAGCCACGCCGCGUGAGUGAUGAAGGCCUUCGGUUGUAAGUACGUCUGUCGGGAGGGAAGGAAGGGACGAACC